ensembl:lncRNA
GACAACCUGGUGCCAUUGCGCGGUCCGUGACUGCUUGUCCCGACCGCCCCCUGGUGGACCAAUCGGGUUUUUAUUGCUGUCAUUGUCCCCGAUGGCCUUUUGUUGCUACAGUUGCGCCUCUGCUUUCUGAUUUUACCCGGUUCGUGGACUGUUGGUAGAUGUGUCUGCACCAGUAACACACAUGAGAGUCACGCUGCACAAUGUGCAGUGUUGUCUGGACUCCCGUGGCCCCGUUGGGCUCUGAGGAGCCAUCUGUUCUGUUUGGGGAAAGAUUAAGAACUCCUUCGUCUGAUGUCUCCAGUCUUGAUUAGUUUCUGGAUUAUAUCUGAAAGAGAAAAGAAAGUUCACAGUGAGGAUUAUGUUUUUUUUUCUUUCUUUUUUUUCUCAGUGUUGUUUUAAUCUUUGUUACAUUUCCUGCACAGUUUAUUUACAAAAUACCAUCUUAUCCCGUUUUUUUUUUUUUUUUUUUUUAACUGUAUAUUGGAACGAAUGAGACACUUGUGGAUGAUCAUUUGUAAAGUGGGACUGUGUCUAAUGCAACUUCAUCCUCGGUAACGCAGCGGCUGAAGAGGAUUACGCUGCUGCCACAGAAACUUAGUGGCCGGGGGAAUGAGAGAGGAGAGAAGGGGAGAGGAGAGAAGGGGAGAGGAGAGGAGGGGUGGGGAGUCUAGAGGAGAAAGGGACUGCGAGGCGAUUACAUCAGAACACACGGACGAUCUUCGCCUACCCAGCAGACACAAGAGACACCAGUUUUUUGAGGUGACACGGAUUCCUAAAGAAGUCCUCCUAGUCUGCAGCGAUGAUGCACCCUUUGGUCAUCGGCAUUGUGGCCGUGAACACCUCUCUGACCAUCAUCUACUGGGCCUUCAUGCUGAGUGAUGCUUACUUCAGGUGGCUCACGGAGCCAGAAGACAAACCCAAGAAGCUGGUCACCCCAGCCUGAAAGAGCCACAGUCAAUAUGGACUGACUUCAUUAUUGGGUUACUAUUUUGCGUAGUGAGCAUCAGCCGUCCAGCUUCUAGUGCUUUCUGGGGCGUCUGAUUUAGCAACUGAUCGGCUCUCUUUUUCACUUUGAGGGGACACUGAAACUAACUUCCAUUUUUUUUUUUACUCAACUGAAUGGAUCCUGCAAUCGAAAGAGAAAAACUGUCUUACAGGUAACGUCCAAGAUUUAUCUAAAACUUUGGUGCAGGGAAAUCCAUUGAAUUGUGUGUUGGCUUAUGUGGUGGUGGUCUUGUUGGAUUUGAGACGCACAGUGUGAAUCAGCUGGUGAAAAUGUAAUAUUCUUCUGGUGAUGCUGAAUGGAGUCUCGUCUUCUGCUUUGAUACCUGCUGACUCAGACAAACAGGUGUUGCCGGUGACAGCGACCGUGUCAAGCAAAUCCUGCCAUAGAUUACUGAAGAGCACCUUGAUGGUGACACAGACAGACGGAAUCUCCUGACCGUCUCAUUCAGAAAGACCUAUCCAAAGACACCACACUGCUUUUGCGUUACCACCAUUCCUCCGAUUUGAUUUUUCCUUCAUCUGGUGAUUUGUUUACGGGAAGACUCGUUUUUCCAGUUUAUAAUACUUUUAAAAACUUUUACACAACAUGACACACGUCUUCUAUUACGGUCUGCACCCGGUCUCCUGGUUCAUCAUCUUUGCGAGUAUUGCCAUCACCAUCAUAGAAUGGCAAUUUCUUGUUUCUCAGUUUUGCAAAGUUCCCGAGCCACCAAAAGACAAUAAAUCUCAAGAGUAGAGGAGACAAUCUACAUCCUGAAGCUCCACCGACAAGAUCUGAGAGGAGGAGAGCUGGUUUUUGGAUCCCUGACUACCUGCCUUCAUCAUUGACGAGCCGUUUGUGUACGACAUGCCACGCCAACUUGGAAGUCCUUUCAUUUACAAAGAAAAAAUCUAUGGAGCAGUUGAAGUCUUGCCUACAAGACUGGAUUCUUGGCCCCAAACCAGUCGAGGUUGAUUCCGAGGAAGGGAGGGCAGAAAUGGAAGAAGAACACCGACUGAGCAUUUGCAGUACACUGUUGGAGAGGGACGAGCUGCAGAUGGAAAAGGAGAAGGACGGCCCGCUGCCCGGUUUCCACCAGGGAGACGCAGGCUGCCAUCAGCCAGCCGUCCCUCCUCCGCUGAGAAGCUCCAUCUCUGCGUCCUACCCCGGGGAGAAAAGAAUGUCCAUUCACAGUGUGACCUUCUCCUGCCCCGUGACCCCGUAUGCCACCUCCCUUUGAGCUUUCACUUUGGUGCAGCAUUCAGAGCAUUGUUGGUUGUUUCUCUCAUUUCAGUGUAGUGAUCAGUGGUCUUUUCAGUUAUGAUGCAUCACACUGACGUAUCUUUGUUUUAUGUAAAACACGUGUUGCUCAAGUUUUAGUUUGUCCUCAUUUUGCUUGCUUUAACUCUUUAUUUUAAAUGUAUGUACACAUGGUCCCAUUAUGUCAUUUCAAAUAUAUUUAUUAUUGUGUGCUGCAAACAAUAGGAAAAUGUCAUUAUAAACCACGUAACUUUCAACAUGUCAGUGUGCAGUAAAAAAUAAUUUUAUUAAAUACGCUGAUAUUUCAAUCUUAAGACCUAGUAUGUAUGCAUGUAUCUAUAAGACUAUAUAUGUACAACAUGAAAAUUAUCAAGACGGCUCAUUAAGAUUGCAUGUGUGUGUGUAUAUGUAUGUCAUUUCCUGUUUGUCACUAGUGUUGCUGUAAUGUGUCAGGGAAGAAACAACGGGUCAGUUUGAUCUGUUCUGUGUUGGACUAAGCUUAUCUCCAGUAAACAACGGGGGAAAACAAGAGUGCUGUUUUGUCUUGUCCUUGUCCUUUAAUCCGUCUUACCUUCCUCUAAUACCUGGAUAUGAGACGGGCCGUGACCUUAUUUGUCAAUGUCAUGGAUUACUGUACGUUAGUCAUAUUAAAUACGGCUGGGUAGUGAAAGCAAAAGGUUGGUAGAUAGAGGGAUAGAUAGAUCUAUAGAUAGAUUGAUAUAUAGAUAGACAGGUAGAUAGAGUGAUAGAUGGAUAGACAUAGAUAGGUAGAUAGAUGGAUAGACCUAUAAGAACUAGACAUAGAUCGAUCGAUGACUCUGAGAUAUGAAGUGGAUUCCCAGGCUGACAGCAGCUCCGAAGACUCUCAGACCGCAAUGGAGGUGAUGGAGGACAACUUAAAUGUCCGUUACACGGAAGACGAUGGGACGGUGUUGUUUGAGAGCUACAUUCCUCCCUCUCGGGACGCCAUCCACCUGCCUACCUAUGUCUUCUACCUGAUCAUAGCCACCCUCGUCGUGAUCGGCGUUCUUUAUGCCAUCAUCGGCCACCUCAUCAAGGACCUCAUGCAUGACUUUGCAGACUGGGUGUUUGGGGUGCAGCCUGAGGAAGUAGUGGUGAACUAUUGUGAGGCCAAAGAUAAGUUCGUGGCAGACUGGUGCCCAGAAACCUCCCCCGAACUGGAGGCGUUGGCCCGGGCCGAGGAGAACAAGAUGAUUGACAAGGACUACAUGAAAGCCCCCGUCAUCUGGAUCAUCUCUCCAGAACCCAGGGGGAGCAAGUCGGGACCCCACGUGAUCUUUGAGAAGAGGAGCUGAGGGAAAAUGAAGAUGCCGUUAGAUUAGAGACUUGUUGUUGAAGCAGCUGGAUCUUCUGUAACGUGGUGUUAUUGUACUGAGUUGCGCGGCGUCAACUGAAUGGCUGUAAGGAGCUUUAAGGCCGAUGUGGGGUGAUGACACACAGGCGCUCGUGUCUGGAGGAGCUGAACGCCUCAGUGGUCUGACGAGGACAUCUAGUGUGCAUUUAGGUCAUUGCAGCAGAUCUGCAGUAACACGCAAGAACUCAAAUUAAAUAUGAGGAAAAGAGAUUGGAGAAGCAAAUAAAAUAACAAAAUAGGACGAAAGGUUGUAUUAAAAGUUUGAGCUUGCAUCACCUUUUUGUGCGUAAAUGAGAGAUAAGAAAACAAAGAUGUGUCUCUUCUGUAGUGCGUAUGAGAAGUGUCAGCGUAAACGUAACUGUAUCAAAUGCAGAUGUUGCAGAGUAGCCAAAUUUUAAUAAACUCAGGUGGGACCAUAUUUUCCGUUGAUUUUUCUUAUUCAUAUUCAUGUGUGUAUGGAUCUAUAUUUACAUUUAAUGCACUCAGUAUUCAGGUGUCAACAUAAGUGUAAUAAAACAAGACAACAGAAACACUCAAAUGUUUAAUGUUGUUAUUUGAUCAUAUCUACAAGGACAUUUUAAGGACUGGGAACUAUUACUAAUACUAGAAAAUAAACAGUCUGCACUAAAUUGUACAAUAGCAGGUGAAGGUUGGUUUAUAACUACAGCUCCAAGGAUUAAUAAAUAAACUCUGUUAACCAAGUAUCUUUAGCCAGGCUGA